rnacentral:tRNA from 1 species
GGUUGCACAAUGGUAAAGCACUUGGCUGCUAACCAAAAGGUUGAUGGUUCAAAUCCACCAAACCU